UAGAAAUAGCCAAGUCUCCAUCUUCUUGGCAAAGAAGGCAGUUGCUACCUGAAACUCUUCUGGCCCUGGAGGAGGCAGGGGGUGGGUGCAGUGCUAAGAAGAAGUUGUAGGUCUGGACACUGCAUAUCAGAGCUAUUGUAAAGGCCAGAAGGAGCCUUGUACUCAGCUGCUGCCUCCUGAGAAUGUGAGGCCAGCUGAGGGUCAUGGACUGAACUGAUCUCCAAACCAUGUCCCAGUCAGUAUGGCUGGAGCUGAAACAGAUGUUGGUCAAAGGCUUGGAUGGAAAUUAAGCAUUGUAGGCAUAAAGGGUAGGGAAGUGCAGAAGAAGCAGCUAUGGCUGUGAAGGUUUCUCAGGGAAAUGACUCUUCACCCAAAGGGAGCACUGUACUUGGGGGAGGAGAUGGGCCCUGUGUUAAAGGUUAUGAACUGGGAACGGUUGAGCCCUUUCAUCUUUUCCAUUAAGAUUUCUCUUCUGCCAGACGGCAGCAUAAGGUGGCUGCCAGAAAAGACAUUUCUGUCUAUAACAAGCUGGGGAAAGAACUUUUCAUCUUGAGUAAGAGAGAGCUUUCAUCUUCCAUCAAAGGGGCGAGGACUGAGGCAGCACCGUCGCAUCGGCUUUACAGGAUGCACAGAGUGGUUGGCAGGAAAAUGAGUCAGCAGGCCCAGCGAGCUGAGCUGGGACACUGGGGACUGUCAACCUGCUUGCUUACAAGUGAGGCUCAGCAAGUGUGAAACACUGAUGGGGCUGUGCCUGUUGUUAUUCAUGGCUCUGUGCUCCCAUUCAUCAAAGGUGUCUGUGGCUGCUUUCUGUGAUUGUGUGUACACUUUUUGGUUUUUACCUUACCAAAGUCAGACCAGGUUACACAGAGGGCUUCAUCCAGUUUGGCCUGGAAAACCUCUAGGGCUGGAGGCUGCACGACCUCUCUGUGCAAUCUGUUUUAAUACUUCAGUGUCUGAAUAGGGAGAAAGUUUUUCCUUUGACACAUAAUAAUCUAUACUUCUCCCUUCUGAUUAAAUGCCUAGAUCAGUGUGGAUAAGACUUUUGGCAUUGCAGAAAGGUCAUAUCUGCUGUCGUCAUCUAGCUGUAUAAUAAUAAUAAAUUUGGUCUCCCAAUGAUCAAUUCAGAUUUGCAGAUUAGCAGAAGUCUCAUGAUCUGCCUCUUUCCUGGUCUGCUGGAGGCACUGCUAAAAAUAGAGAAUGUUUUUGGAUGGCUUGCUAUAUAUUGGAAGUUGUUUGGUAAGGAUUAACUGGCGAACAGAUGAAUCAAACUGACAUUUCCAUUACCAACAGGAGAUCUGUCUGUGGCCAGAGUUCAUGGAGAAGGAUGUGGGAUAAUAAUUCCCUGCAGCCAAUCAGUUGGGCUGCUGUGGCAGGUAAGGCACUGGGGACAGUCUGUAGGACUCAGAAGUUGGAGAUAACCUAAUAAUAAUGUUGGGAAGACUGGCCAACUCCACUUGGAUAUAAAUAACCUGGAAGCUCCACUGGAAUAGCUAAAAGGCAGAACUACCAGGGUGAAAGACCUAAUGCACAUCUCUAAAAUGGGCAGAAGUGAUCCAUACCACAACUGAUCCAGAAAAAAGAUGACACUGAAACCUGAAAGGGACUCAUUGCUUGAUGAUGCAAUGCUAAUAAAAAUAAUUCA